UACCAGCACCCCGAGUGGUCGGGACGUUUAUUGGGCCUAAAGCAUCCGUAGCCGGUUCUACAAGUCUUCCGUUAAAUCCAGCUGCUUAAAAGAUGGGCUGCGGAAGAUACUAUGGAGCUAGGAGGCGGGAGAGGCAAGCGGUACUCGAUGGGUAGGGGUAAAAUCCGUUGAUCCAUUGAAGACCACCAGUGGCGAAGGCGGCUUGCCAGAACGCGCUCGACGGUGAGGGAUGAAAGCUGGGGGAGCAAACCGG
rnacentral:rRNA from 1 species